rnacentral:rRNA from 1 species
ACUGAACGCUGGCGGCAUGCCUAAUACAUGCAAGUCGGGCGAGAGGCGGACGGGUGAGUCAUGUAUGGGGAUCUGCCUGAUGGAGGGGGACAACUACUGGAAACGGUAGAUACUACCGAAUACCACCAGAUGCAAGCAUAUGGGAUUAGUUUGUAGGUGAGGUAACGGCUCACCUAGGCGACGACCCCUAGCUGGUCUGAGAGGAUGAUCGGCCACAAUGGGACUGAGACACGGCCCAGACUCCUACGGGAGGCAGCAGUGGGGAAUAUUGCGCAAUGGGCGCAAGCCUGAUGCAGCCAUGCCGCGUGUAUGAAGAAGGCCUUCGGGUUGUAAAGUACUUUCAGUAGGGAGGCGUUACCGACAGAAGAAGCACCGGCUAACUCCGUGCCAGCAGCCGCGGUAAUUC